rnacentral:rRNA from 1 species
UUCCSKWRGGUAACCUGCGGAGGGAUCAUUACACAAAUGAAAAUAUGAAGGCCCUUCAAACCGGCUGGAUUAUUUUUCUUCACCCUUGUCUUUUGCGCACUUGUUGUUUCCURRRMRRGUUCGCUCGCCACCAGGACCACACCAUAAACCUUUUUGUUAAUGCAAUCAGCGUCAGUAAAAAGUAAUAAUUAUUUUACAACUUUCAACAACGGAUCUCUUGGUUCUGGCAUCGAUGAAGAACGCAGCGAAAUGCGAUACGUAGUGUGAAUUGCAGAAUUCAGUGAAUCAUCGAAUCUUUGAACGCACAUUGCGCCCUUUGGUAUUCCAAAGGGCAUGCCUGUUCGAGCGUCAUUUGUACCCUCAAGCUUUGCUUGGUGUUGGGCGUUGUUUGUCUUUGGCCUUGCCCAAAGACUCGCCUUAAAACAAUUGGCAGCCGGCCUACUGGUUUCGCAGCGCAGCACAUUUUUGCSCUUGCAAUCAGCAAAAGAGGUUGGCCAUCCAUCAAGACUACAUUUAUACGYUGACCUCGAUCAGACGUAUUCAUCC